GGGGAAUAUUGGACAAUGGGGGCAAUCCUGAUCCAGCCAUGCCGCGUGUGUGAAGAAGGCCUUCGAGUUGUAAAGCACUUUAAGCGGGGAGGAAGGCCUGAUGGUUAAUAUCCAUCGGGAUUGACGUUACCCGCAGAAUAAGCACCGGCAAACUUCGUGCCAGCAGUUGCGGUAAUACGAAGGGUGCGAGCGUUAAUCGGAAUUACUGGGCGUAAAGCGCGCGUAGGUGGUUAAGUAAGCGAUCUGUGAAAGCCCCGGGUUUAACCUGGGAACUGCAGGUCGAACUGCUUGGCUAGAGUAUGGUAGAGGGGUGUGGAAUUUCCUGUGUAGCGGUGAAAUGCGUAGAUAUAGGAAGGAACAUUAGUGGCGAAGGCGACACCCUGGACCGAUACUGACACUGAGGCGCGAAAGCGUGGGUAGCGAAC
rnacentral:rRNA from 1 species